ACAUUUUAAUGUAAACUUAAAUGUUAAUCUGCAGAGGUACAGCUCUGCAGAAUAAGAUAACAACCUUAAUUAGAGAGUAAAUUUAUAUAACAACCAUAGUUGGCCUAAAAGCAGCCACCAAUUAAGAAAGCGUUCAAGCUCAACAAUUAAAUUCACACAUAAUUCAAAAAAUAAUAUGAACUCCUAAUUUAAUUACUGGAUUAUUCUACCCACAUGUAGAAGCAAUACUGUUAAUAUGAGUAACAAGAUUUUAAAUCUCCAAACACACGUGUAUAUCAACCCGAAUACUAACUGAUAAUUAACAAUUAGACAAAUCCAAACAUUUAAUUAAUAAUUUUCCACCAUAUUGUUAAUCCAACACCGGAGUGUACUUAAGGAAAGAUUAAAAAAAGUAAAAGGAACUCGGCAAACAUAAACCCCGCCUGUUUACCAAAAACAUCACCUCUAGCAUUACCAGUAUUAGAGGCACUGCCUGCCCAGUGACAUUAGUUUAACGGCCGCGGUAUCCUGACCGUGCAAAGGUAGCAUAAUCAUUUGUUCCUUAAUUAGGGACUUGUAUGAAAGGCUCCACGAGGGUUUAACUGUCUCUUACUUUCAAUCAGUGAAAUUGACCUUCCCGUGAAGAGGCGGGAAUAAAAAAAUAAGACGAGAAGACCCUAUGGAGCUUAAAUUAAAUUAUCUAAUAAAUUAAAACUUAAUCCAAUAGGCAUAACAAUAUAUUUAACUAGAUAACAAAUUUUGGUUGGGGUGACCUCGGAGUAUAACCCAACCUCCGAGCUAUAUAAACUAAGACUUACCUGUCAAAGUGAAAUAACUUAUUGAUCCAAUCUUAUUGAUCAACGGAAUAAGUUACCCUAGGGAUAACAGCGCAAUCCUAUUUAAGAGUUCAUAUCGACAAUAGGGUUUACGACCUCGAUGUUGGAUCAGGACACCCAAAUGGUGCAGCAGCUAUUAAAGGUUCGUUU
rnacentral:rRNA from 1 species